UACGUAGGGGGCUAGCGUUGUCCGGAUUUAUUGGGCGUAACGAGCGUGUAGGCGGCCAGGUAGGUCUGCUGUGAAAACUCGAGGCUCAACCUCGAGACGUCGGCGGAAACCAUCUGGCUAGAGUCCGGAAGAGGAGAGUGGAAUUCCUGGUGUAGCGGUGAAAUGCGCAGAUAUCAGGAAGAACACCCGUGGCGAAGGCGGCUCUCUGGGACGGUACUGACGCUGAGACGCGAAAGCGUGGGGAGCGAACAGG
rnacentral:rRNA from 1 species